GUCAUGCCCAUCAAUUUCAAUGGGUCUGUUAUCUGUUAGACUAGCAUGAGAUGAAGCCCUGAAGUAAUUCUGAAGAAACCUGGUGUUCUAUAUUACCCAACAGAAAUUUUUUUUUGGGGGGGGUCUAUACUUUCAGGGCACAUUUCUAUAGCAUCAAACUAGUGAAGUCUAAUUUUAAUUAUUGGGGGGGUGGGAGUGCUGAAAUGCUAGUCUUUGCUCCUGCUUGCCUCUUUCCGAAAUUGCACUAACCAGCCUAGGAUGUGUGUUUGAUCUUUUACAGGAUUAGGGCCAGGGGGCCAAGAUCACUCCAGAGGCAGCUCAAGAUGGGAUGAAAAUUAUUCCUUUCUGACAUAAGCCGUCACUAAGUUAUAAUUUUGUGAACCAGGAGUAUGUUUUCAAUUAGCUUCGUUAGCCCCUGCUUGUACAGCUAAGCAGCAGCAGUGUCACAUGGUAUUAAUCUUCGUUUCAUUAAUAUGUCAUAUCAGCCGCACACGGCAUUCUUUGAAACUGAUACGCCCGGCCGUCUCUCCCCGAGAACCACCACCACCACCACAAUAUCAGCAAGAGGUGCCAAAAUCUGCUUCCUACAGGAAGGAUGACCCCCCUGAGAUCCUUUAACUUUUGGUUUAAGUUUCUAGAAAUUAUUCUUUUUUCCAUUAGGAGGAGGGGAGGACAGGAGGAAUGGCAAAGGCCAUAGACUGGACCGUGAUAAACAAAGGCAUUUCUGAAGCUUAUUGCCAAAGGGCUAUUAUGUUGUUGUUUGUGAUGAAAAGUUGCUUUCUGCAGCACGCCAAAUGAAAAACGGCUCUAACACAUAACACUUUUUGCCCCCAAAAUGCACAAGAAUAUGUUUUUGUUGUCACUGAAAGCUUUUAAACCAACUCCAUGGACUAGAUCUAAAUUUAAUGGUUCCUAAAAUGGGCAGUACCACCAUCGGGGGAGGGGUAACCCGAGGGGGUAGUGGGGGGGCUGAAGGUGUAAAUUCCUAUCAGACUUUGAAAAGCUGUUCUCACUGAACCAAGUUCAUCAGUUUUGUUGAAUGAAUAGAACUAAGUAGUUUUAACUGGAUUUUGAGUAAGUGUGCAACUAAUUGUUAUUGUUUUGAAUUUUUUUAUGUUAUUACCUUCUUUAGUGGGUCAUGCAAACCGCUAUUCUGAAUAAUGCAUUUUAUAGGGUAGGGGGCACUGGGAGUGAGUUUACGGGACGAAGAGGACGGUAGCCCCAAAAAAGUUUUGGAACAACUGAUCUAGAUGAAAUAAGUUGCACUUCAAUCUCACUGAAACGCUCUUAUGUCAUGACUGAUCUGCCCCACUAAUUUCAGUGAGACUUAACUGCAAUACAGGUUAAUUUUACAAGACUGUUGGAAGGAUUACAGAGUUAAUAUAAAUGAUGGAUGUCAGCUAGUCAAAAGGCACUGCCUAAAUAUUAAGAGUUGUAUCCAGCCUUCUCAGAGUAGACUUGUUGAAAUUAUUGGACCUCAGCUUGUUUUGUCCAUUUUUCUUCUUCCAAGGGUCUCUUCUAAUUAGACCCAACAUUGGAUCUUGGCCUAAGGGUUGCAUUCAGCUACGUUCUCCAUGGAGCAGAUCUACUGAAAUUGAUGGGCAUGACUAACAUAAAUAGGUUCAUUAAUUUCAGUGGGUCUCCUCUAACGAGAACUUAGUUGGAUGCAACCCCAUAUGUUGGAUCCAGAUGAAGCUAGUUAUCACAUAUUGGAGCAGGGUAGGUGACUGAGAAAGCAGUAGAUUGCAAGUGAGUUCAUGGCUAAGGCAAGAUUGAACUGGAGAUCUCUUGAACCACAGAUCACACUUUCGUCCACUAUAUGACACCAGCUAUGGUACCUAGGAUGUUGAUUCGAUGUCUAUGUUUACAUUAUCUGGAAAAGGCUCAUAAUGCAAAUUGUAUGUUAUUCUUCUGAUUUCAGUGCCACUAACCUGGGUCCAGAUGGAUGUGAGCAUGAAAGCCUGAGCAACUGACUUUCAAAGACGUAAAAUCAGAUAAUAGGUAUCACUUUAAAUUCACAGAAUUGAUGGUAUCACUUUAAAUCCACAGUACAACGGGGAGGGAGGGGUCCUCCUCAUGAGCAAGACAAGGCCGAUGUCUGUUCUCAACUCAACAUCAGACUAGGAGGACUAAAUCAGAAUCUUGGUGGCUUCUCCCAGACUUUGGAACUUCCACCUUGUCCAUCUGUCAGCAGGUAAAGACUUUUUUGUUCCAACAGGCUUUUGGGAACAGACUGCUUUUAAUGAAAGGGCUGGUGCCAUGUUGUUUUUAUUAUACUUAUUUGUAUAGUUUUAACAGAUUUUAUACAUGUAUAUAGUUUAAUUUUUUUAAAUGAUUGUUUUUUCUGUUUUUAGCAGUUCUCAUUUUUUUAUAUGCAAGCCGCCUUGAGUCCCAUCAGGAAAAAGUUCAGGUAUAAAGAAAUACAUAAUAAUAACAAUCUCACAGGCACAAGAAUUCAACCAGAAUAACUGACAGAAUCCAGAUUUUUUUAAAAGAAAACCAAAUACACACCAAAUGCAAUACCAGAGAUCAGGAUGAAGCCAGUCGCCACUGCAACCGCCCAGUUGCAGUGAGGUGUACGAUGGGGACUAGUAGAUUGCACAAACUGGGUUAUUGAAAUUUUGACUGCAAUCCAAAACAUGGAAGUAUUAAAAUGUUUAUUCCGCUCUCCAUGUUAUCCAGCAGACACCAACCACAGCAUCUUUUAGAUACUUGCUGAGAACUUCACUUUCUCCCCCUGUCCAUUCUGGAUCAUACUGCUCAGCAAUCCAGCAUUUUGUAUAUGUGCAG